GUGAAAUCCUGCAGCUUAACUGUAGAACUGCCUCCGAUACUGGAAGUCUUGAAUAUGGUAGAGGGCAACGGAAUUCCAGGUGUAGCGGUGAAAUGCUUAGAUAUCUGGAAGAACACCGGUUGCGAAGGCUGUUGCCUGGGCCAUUAUUGACGCUCAUGGACGAAAGCGUGGGGAGCGAACCGGAUUAGAUACCCGGGUAGUCCACGCUGUAAACGAUGCCAGCUCGGUGUCUGUUCCCAUUACGGGAGUGGGUGCCUAAGCACACGCGGUAAGCUGGCCGCCUGGGGACUACGAGCGCAAGCUUAAAACUCAAAGGAAUUGACGGGGGCCCGCACAAGCAGCGGAGCGUGUGGUUUAAUUCGACGCAACGCGAAGAACCUUACCCAGGCUUGACAUGCAGGUGCAUACGGCGGAAACGUCGUAGCCUUCGAGGGUCCUGCACAGGUGCUGCAUGGUUGUCGUCAGCUCGCGUCGUGAGAUGUUGGGUUAAGUCCCGCAACGA
rnacentral:rRNA from 1 species